CCCCCACGUCCCCUCCGGUUAGGGACUACGCAAGACCUUCAACUACCAGACAACAACUAAUAGCCCAGACUAAACGUUACGGUCCCCUAUUCCAGUAUUCUCCUUUCCUCUUUUUAAUGUCAACCUCAACCUAUAUUAUAACUAAGCGUCCAAGAUGAAAAUACAUGACCUGACGAGCUCCUAAUAUACACAGAUGACUUUCAUUAGGGGGUUUUACACCCAAGACGACAAAGCGACAUAAGAGCAAGCUACACAAGACAUGGAUCCUAGUUUAUAGGUCAUAGCCCACUGUAACACAUUUCAAGCGUUAAAGUUACUACAACACACUGUCUUUUUCUUCAAAAUAUAAAAUGUGCACUGUUAUGCAUUCCUAAC